rnacentral:rRNA from 1 species
UCAGAGGUCUCAAGCGUUGUUUCGGAUUCAUUGGGCGUAAAGGGUGUGUAGGUGGCGCGCUAAGUCGGGUGUGAAAUUUCGGAGCUUAACUCCGAAACUGCAUUCGAUACUGGCGUGCUUUGAGGACUGGAGAGGAGACUGGAAUUUACGGUGUAGCAGUGAAAUGCGUAGAUAUCGUAAGGGAAGACCGUGGCGAAGGCGGGUCUCUGGACAGUUCCUGACACUGAGACACGAAGGCCAGGGGGAGCAAACGGG